rnacentral:rRNA from 1 species
AACAGGAUUAGAUACCCUGGUAGUCCACGCCGUAAACGAUGAUUACUCGUUUUUGGGUUUAAUGAUUCAGAGACUAAGCGAAAGUGAUAAGUAAUCCACCUGGGGAGUACGUUCGCAAGAAUGAAACUCAAAGGAAUUGACGGGGGCCCGCACAAGCGGUGGAGCAUGUGGUUUAAUUCGAUGAUACGCGAGGAACCUUACCAAGACUUAAAUGGGAAUUGACAGACGCAGAAAUGUGUUUUUCUUCGGACAAUUUUCAAGGUGCUGCAUGGUUGUCGUCAGCUCGUGCCGUGAGGUGUUAGGUUAAGUCCUGCAACGAGCGCAACCCCUGUCACUAGUUGCUAACAUUAAGUUGAGGACUCUAGUGAGACUGCCUACGCAAGUAGAGAGGAAGGUGGGGAUGACGUCAAAUCAUCACGGCCCUUACGUCUUGGGCCACACACGUGCUACAAUGGCCGGUACAGAGGGCAGCUACCUAGUGAUAGGAUGCAAAUCUCGAAAGCCGGUCUCAGUUCGGAUUGGAGUCUGCAACUCGACUCUAUGAAGCUGGAAUCGCUAGUAAUCGCGCAUCAGCCAUGGCGCGGUGAAUACGUUCCCGGGCCUUGUACACACCGCCCGUCAAGCCAUGGAAGCUGGGGGUACCUGAAGUCGGUGACCGUAAAAGGAGCUGCCUAGGGUAAAACUAGUAACUAGGGCUAAGUCGUAACAAGGUAACC